rnacentral:snRNA from 1 species
GGAUGCGAGGGCGAUCUGGCUGCGACAUCUGUCACCCCAUUGAUCCCCAGGGUUGGGUUGGUUGAUCUGGCUGGCGAGGCGGGUGUCCCCCUUCUUCCUCAAUGCGCCCUGCGCCUUCCUCCCCAAGCUGUGCGCUGGAUGGAAGAGGACAGCCGCGCCCGAAAGAGGAGGACUGCUCCUUGGUUAGGGGUAGGGGAGUAGCUGCGCUUCCCUGCUUGAUCCUUCAAACAAGCUCUCAAGAUUUUCACUCCUCACGUGUGACUGACAGAGUACUCAGAAAUUGCGAAUGUGUGGAUCUUUACAAUAAUACAUAAUAGCAAAUGUGCACAAAAGCAUAUUUU